rnacentral:rRNA from 1 species
GACGAACGCUGGCGGCGUGCUUAACACAUGCAAGUCGAACGCUGAAGCCCAGCUUGCUGGGUGGAUGAGUGGCGAACGGGUGAGUAACACGUGAGUAACCUGCCCCCUUCUUUGGGAUAACGCCCGGAAACGGGUGCUAAUACUGGAUAUUCACUGGCCUUCGCAUGGGGGUUGGUGGAAAGGUUUUUCUGGUGGGGGAUGGGCUCGCGGCCUAUCAGCUUGUUGGUGGGGUGAUGGCCUACCAAGGCUUUGACGGGUAGCCGGCCUGAGAGGGUGACCGGUCACAUUGGGACUGAGAUACGGCCCAGACUCCUACGGGAGGCAGCAGUGGGGAAUAUUGCACAAUGGGCGAAAGCCUGAUGCAGCGACGCCGCGUGAGGGAUGACGGCCUUCGGGUUGUAAACCUCUUUCGCUCAUGGUCAAGCCGCAGCUUUGGGUUGUGGUGAGGGUAGUGGGUAAAGAAGCGCCGGCUAACUACGUGCCAGCAGCCGCGGUAAUACGUAGGGCGCGAGCGUUGUCCGGAAUUAUUGGGCGUAAAGGGCUUGUAGGCGGUUGGUCGCGUCUGCCGUGAAAUCCUCUGGCUUAACUGGGGGCGUGCGGUGGGUACGGGCUGACUUGAGUGCGGUAGGGGAGACUGGAACUCCUGGUGUAGCGGUGGAAUGCGCAGAUAUCACGAAAAACACCGGGUGGCUAAAGGCGGGUUCUCUGAGCCGUUACUGACGCUAAGAACGAAACCGCGAGAAUCGAACAGGCAUCAGAUACCCAAGUAUUCAAGGUGAAUUCCUCGGUGGAUAUCAGCCUUUUCCUUCUAUCCACCCCCCCCCGCGGCCCCGCGGGCGAAUUUUUGUUUCUAUUUUAAAAUGGUUACAUUCCCCGUCUACCGCCCAUCCCCCCCGGGAGAGAAAGAUGACGCCCCGGGGGGACCACAGGUGACAACAUCCAUUAUUUUUUGUCGGCCCUACUGCGUUUAUUCGGGGACCAUGAUGCGUAUGAAUAUGAUAGUCCUAUCUACCCUGCCGAUCUGAUUUUUUCGCUAGGGGAGUUCCUCUCUUCUUACUCCCCUAGCUGCCACUUGUC